rnacentral:rRNA from 1 species
AGAAUCUUCCGCAAUGGGCGCAAGCCUGACGGAGCGAUGCCGCGUGAGGGACGAAGGCCUUCGGGUCGUAAACCUCUGUCGAGGGGAACGAACGCAAUGACGGUACCCCUCAAGAAAGCCACGGCUAACCACGUGCCAGCAGCCGCGGUAAUACGUGGGUGGCGAGCGUUAUUCGGAUUCACUGGGCGUAAAGGGUCCGCAGGGGGCAUGCCGCGCCCGCCGUGAAACACCGGGGCUCAACCCCGGUCCUGCGGCGGGUACGGGCGUGCUGGAGUGCGGGACGGGCAGACGGAAUUCCGGGUGUAACGGUGGAAUGUGCAGAUAUCCGGAAGAACACCGAUGGCGAAGGCGGUCUGCUGGCCCGCGACUGACCCUCAUGGACGAGAGUGUGGGUAGCGAACA